GCAUAUCAAUAAGCGGAGGAAAAGAAACCAACAGGGAUUGCCCUAGUAACGGCGAGUGAAGCGGCAACAGCUCAAAUUUGAAAUCUGGCUCUCGGGCCCGAGUUGUAAUUUGUAGAGGAUACUUUUGAUGCGGUGCCUUCCGAGUUCCCUGGAACGGGACGCCAUAGAGGGUGAGAGCCCCGUCUGGUUGGAUGCCAAAUCUCUGUAAAGUUCCUUCAACGAGUCGAGUAGUUUGGGAAUGCUGCUCUAAAUGGGAGGUAUAUGUCUUCUAAAGCUAAAUACCGGCCAGAGACCGAUAGCGCACAAGUAGAGUGAUCGAAAGAUGAAAAGCACUUUGAAAAGAGAGUUAAAAAGUACGUGAAAUUGUUGAAAGGGAAGCGUUUAUGACCAGACUUGGGCUUGGUUAAUCAUCUGGGGUUCUCCCCAGUGCACUUUUCCAGUCCAGGCCAGCAUCAGUUUUCCCCGGGGGAUAAAGGCGGCGGGAAUGUGGCUCUCUUCGGGGAGUGUUAUAGCCCGUCGUGUAAUACCCUGGGGGGGACUGAGGUUCGCGCAUCUGCAAGGAUGCUGGCGUAAUGGUCAUCAACGACCCGUCUUGAAACACGGACCAAGGAGUCGUCUUCGUAUGCGAGUGUUCGGGUGUCAAACCCCUACGCGUAAUGAAAGUGAACGCAGGUGAGAGCUUCGGCGCAUCAUCGACCGAUCCUGAUGUUCUCGGAUGGAUUUGAGUAAGAGCAUACGGGGCCGGACCCGAAAGAAGGUGAACUAUGCCUGUAUAGGGUGAAGCCAGAGGAAACUCUGGUGGAGGCUCGCAGCGGUUCUGACGUGCAAAUCGAUCGUCAAAUAUGGGCAUGGGGGGCGAAAGACUAAUCGAACCUUCUAGUAGCUGGUUUCCGCCGA
rnacentral:rRNA from 1 species